UUCUGACCCCCAGGAGUUCUCCAGGCAGAAGGGGCAACCCCUAAGGACAGGAAAGUGAAUGCAGGGGAGAGGUGGGGCGAGGAGCCCAGCAGAGCACGGGGACACCCGGGACUCAGCAACGCGCUCUCAAGAAGCCCGGCUUCUUUUUCUCUCCUGGGGGACCCCGGGUUUUCAGUAUGGCUUUUGGUGGAUAAAAGGGGUUGGGAACUGUUGAUUAGUAGACCAUGUCCUGGGACAGCUCGAGAGGCCGGAAUCCUAAUCCUCGCCGUACCAGUGCCUUGUCUGGAGCACAAACCCACACAGAGCUCAGAGGGAGAGCGGACGUAUGGGUGAGCAGAACUCAGGCGCCGUGAGGCGCUGGGACCGGGCGAACAAGAAGAUUGAGCCUCGGGGGUCCAUCGUGUCAUCCCAUCUCUCCAGGGAAAUAAUCGGACUGGUCCCUGGUCUUAGAUGACGGUCAUCCAGUCCAAUCAGCUCCAGCAAGAAGAGUCCCAUGAUACCAGAAUGAUGCCUGGGCUUGAACCUGCCGUGGAGCCCCGAGCAGCCCUAUCCGGCCUGCUGCCUGUCUUGGAAAUAAGGUUUUCCUGGAGCGUGGGUGCAUUCAUUUCUUUACAUAUUGUCUGGCCCUUUGCAGAGGAGUUAGCAGAGCCCUGAAUCAGGACCACGGAAGUCAAAAGCCGAUGAGUGCCACAAAGUACCGUAUAAAUGUAAGGAAUUACAAAGUGACAUUAUACCACCCGGACUUCAAGAGUCAGCAGGACUGCCCGGAUAAAGUAUCGAACAUUCUAGGUAUUAUUUUCCUUGGUGCCAAACUUCCAGGCCGUUGUAAAUGGAGCCCAUCUGUCCAGGUCCCGGCUGCCUGUGGCUGUGACCUCUGCUGAGCCCGUCUCGAGAAGGCACGAACCCAA